GAGAAGGGCCCUGGCGAGAGCGCUGCAGGCGGACACCGCGUCCCAGCCGGGCCGGGCCGUGCGGGGCUGCAGGGCACCAGUGUGCCGGGCGAGCGGGGUUCUCCGCCAGCCCCGGUCCCGCUCUGGCCCCGCUCGUCCCGGGUGGGGAAUCAGGCCCGGGAUCCACUCUCACCCCACAGCCCGUCCAUCGCAAGCCUGGGACGCUGCCGCAGCGUCCUCCUGUCUCUGCCUCCCCAGCCCGCCCAGGCCACUGCCCUGCACACCUGAAAGGGUGCUGGCCCCCAACCCGCCUCCCCGCUUCCAUCUGGCUCCACGGCCCCUCCCAGAGCCUCCGGAGCUCCUCAGCACCCCGGGACCAAAGCCUCAUCCGGGGACCCCAGCGCGCUGCUCGUCGGGUCCUGCCCCUCUGUGGCCACAGCUCCUGCGGGCCUCUCGGCAGGGGCGGCAGAGCUGCUGGCUGCCCACUUCCCGGCUUUGCCCACGCCCUCCCCUGGCCUGAGGGAGCGCUGUUCUUCCGUACUUCUCUGCUCGGUUCCCACUCGCCUCCCAUUUCCAGAAUGGCUUUCCCCUCGCAGAGUCAGCUCCGCCAGCGAAGCCCAGUCCUCUUCUGUGGCCGGUGCUGUUCCCUGUAAACCCCCUCACAGCAGACGUGAUUAAGUACAUGUGGCACAAAAUAGAGGCUCAGGAAGCGACUGGUGGAAGGGUGGAUGUGUCUGAACCUGUACUUUGUGUGAGAAUAAAAGUCAACUUUGGAGGCAAGUGUGGGUGGGACUGCUCCUUCCGCUGCUCCUUUCCCCCCACUCCCCGCGUAUGCGUGCUUGAGCGUGUGCUUGUGGUCCGGAAGCCCAGUGUCACCUUCGCAGUGACACCCUCCCUGGCUUCCCCAGGAUUAGGACUUUCCCUUUGGGCACAUUGUGUUUCCUGAAAGACAGAAACGACACUGCCUGGCUCUUCGCGGUUCUUGAAGGCUGCCGUGGUG
rnacentral:lncRNA from 1 species